rnacentral:rRNA from 1 species
UAUACCGUGAAACUGCGAAUGGCUCAUUAAAUCAGUUAUCGUUUAUUUGAUAAUACCUUACUACUUGGAUAACCGUGGUAAUUCUAGAGCUAAUACAUGCUGAAAAUCCCGACUUCGGAAGGGAUGUGUUUAUUAGAUAAAAAACCAAUGCCCUUCGGGGCUUUUUGGUGAUUCAUGAUAACUUUACGRAUCGCAURGCCUUGCGCUGGCGACGGUUCAUUCAAAUUUCUGCCCUAUCAACUUUCGAUGGUARGRUAKUGGCYUACCAUGGUKKCAACGGGUAACGGGGAAUUAGGGUUCGAUUCCGGAGAGGGAGCCUGAGAAACGGCUACCACAUCCAAGGAAGGCAGCAGGCGCGCAAAUUACCCAAUCCCGAUACGGGGAGGUAGUGACAAUAAAUACUGAUACRGGGCUCUUUUGGGUCUYGUAAUUGGAAUGAGAACAAUUUAAAUCCCUUAACGAGGAACAAUUGGAGGGCAAGUCUGGUGCCAGCAGCCGCGGUAAUUCCAGCUCCAAUAGCGUAUAUUAAAGUUGUUGCAGUUAAAAAGCUCGUAGUUGAACCUUGGGUCUGGCUGGCCGGUCCGCCUCACCGCGAGUACUGGUCCGGCUGGACCUUUCCUUCUGGGGAACCUCAUGGCCUUCACUGGCUGUGGGGGGAACCAGGACUUUUACUGUGAAAAAAUUAGAGUGUUCAAAGCAGGCCUUUGCUCGAAUACAUUAGCAUGGAAUAAUAGAAUAGGACGUGUGGUUCUAUUUUGUUGGUUUCUAGGACCGCCGUAAUGAUUAAUAGGGAUAGUCGGGGGCGUCAGUAUUCAGCUGUCAGAGGUGAAAUUCUUGGAUUUGCUGAAGACUAACUACUGCGAAAGCAUUCGCCAAGGAUGUUUUCAUUAAUCAGGGAACGAAAGUUAGGGGAUCGAAGACGAUCAGAUACCGUCGUAGUCUUAACCAUAAACUAUGCCGACUAGGGAUCGGACGGGAUUCUAUAAUGACCCGUUCGGCACCUUACGAGAAAUCAAAGUU